rnacentral:rRNA from 1 species
AGUGAACGCUGGCGGCAGGCCUAACACAUGCAAGUCGAACGGCAGCACAGUAAGAGUUUGCCCUUACGGGUGGCGAGUGGCGGACGGGUGAGGAAUACAUCGGAAUCUACUUUUUCGUGGGGGAUAACGUAGGGAAACUUACGCUAAUACCGCAUACGACCUACGGGUGAAAGCAGGGGAUCUUCGGACCUUGCGCGACUGAAUGAGCCGAUGUCGGAUUAGCUAGUUGGCGGGGUAAAGGCCCACCAAGGCGACGAUCCGUAGCUGGUCUGAGAGGAUGAUCGGCCACACUGGAACUGAGACACGGUCCAGACUCCUACGGGAGGCAGCAGUGGGGAAUAUUGGGCAAUGGGCGCAAGCCUGAUCCAGCCAUACCGCGUGGGUGAAGAAGGCCUUCGGGUUGUAAAGCCCUUUUGUUGGGAAAGAAAAGCAGCAGGUUAAUACCCCGCUGUUCUGACGGUACCCAAAGAAUAAGCACCGGCUAACUUCGUG